UAUAAACAGCUGACGCACGCUUUUCGGUCCUGUUCGACGACGUGCUUUACGUGCUUAACCAGUGGAAAUCUCCUGGAUUUGUUAUGAGCUUAAACUCUGCACAUCAGCAGUUUCCCUUUGAAGAUGGAGGGGGCUGAUCAAAUUGAUUACUGGUGGUGUGUAACCGACUGUUUACUUUGGCGGGAAUCUUCUGCAUCGUGGAAAGGAUGAGCUGCAGUUUCAGUUUACAUGAGAAGUCGAAAGCCUGAACUCGAGAACUAAACUGGGAUGAUAAAAUGCCACCAGCCAUGAAAUGAAGGGUGGUCAUCGUGGUGGCUGAAUGUCGUAGGCUGAAACUUGCAGCUUCAAGGAGCUCAGUGUUAAGUAAAACCCAAUAUGGACUCAACAGAUGGACAAGAACUGCUUUGGCCAAUUGAGUGGAGAAAUGCUGACUGUUUGAGUUUGACCCGAGGAAGUCUGCUGGAGUUUUGAGGAUGUUCAAUCAUCUCUGAAAAUAUCUUAGAAUUGUGAAAUGUCUUGCAAAUAAACACAAUUUCAUAAACUUUUUGUUUUUUUUUUAACGGUGAGGUUGAAGUAGGUGAACAAAAUAAACCAUGAACUACUCUUAA